AUUGUACCAAAAUAGCCAUAUAUGGAUCCAGAUAUCCUCAUAUGAAACCGUAUUAUCAAUAUAGUAAUUCAUUUUUACAAUAUAUGAAACCAUUUAAUUAAUAUAUGGAACCUAAGUAGCAGUCUAUCCGUUGUUUGUUACAUUAUGUCACAAAAUCAAUUAUAUUUUAUCUAUUUUUAAAUAUAAUCUCUUAUAAACCUGUUUCUAGGAAUAGACAGUUAUAAUACUGACCAGUGUAAAUAGUUUUCUUCAUACCUGAGUGAACACUUACCUGUAUUAGUUAGCUGGCCAAUGUGUUAAAAUGUACUGUUAUCUAUAGUUCAUAUAGGUUUACACUCAGUCAGUUUUGCUCAGUUUUAUGAAGAAUUAUGAUGUUAGAGCUUGGCAGAAUUCAUUAUUUAAAUUUAAUGAAAAUGGUGUUCAUUUUAUAAAGCCAUUCUAAUGACAAGCUUUAUUUAACAGUGACUGUCUACCUAGAUAUCAGGGUCAUGGGGCUGAAGGACAUAUCAAUGUCAAGAGUGUGCAUGGUGCUAUGGUUUUAUUAGCGUGAAGUACCAGCAACUGAAUACCACACAGUAUUUUGUAUUAUGCUGAGAGUGGAUCAACAUUAAUUGUAUCGUCUACGCAGAAUCGUAACCUUUUAUUUUGCUGUUCUACAUUGACCUUUGUUGGUCGGAGGUGACAUUUUGUUAUUACAAUAAUUGACCUUUAUAGGUCGGAGGUAACAUUUAUUAUUAUGACCUUACAUGGUCGGUGUGAUUGACUUUCAAAGUUAGUGUGAAUAUUGACCUUUUAAGGUCGGAGCAGUUCCGUGUGGCAUUUUACAUAGUGUUUUGGACGGCAAAAUAAACUGUUAAGUGGAAUGAACGAUAGAGACAAUAUAUGUGUUUUAAUAUGUUUUCUAAGGAUAUUUUCCAGUGACAAUAAUUAAAAUUUCUUAAUUACUUUAGGGAAUUUAAAAUUUCAUAACUAUCAAAUAAGUACUUUUCUAUUUGAUAAAAUUAUAUAUUUUAGUGAAUGUAUUGAAUUUUAUUGUAUAAAUAAAUGUGUAUAUAAAUGUAAAAGGUCUUUUUUGUAAAAUAGUUAUUUUGAUGAUAGAACUACCCACUCUGGCCAUCUCUGACUUGUGACACAUUAUAAGAUAGCAAUUUUCCAUUAUAUGGAACCAAAGUAGCUUAUUUUCAGGUCAACAAGUCCAAUGCGAAGGUCACUGUGUUCUGCUAUAAAAAGGCAUACAAUUAUUUAAAAAAAACCCAAUGCAUUGACUGGUCAUUUUCAAACUUUGUGAGUAGAUAAAACUUUAUGUCUCCUACUGUCAGUGCUCAUUUUCGAUCAAAGGUAAAAGGUCGAGAUGCACUUAUCUUUAAAAAUGUUCUUAUUUAUGGUCAGUAGCUUCAAUUAUGACUUUUAAACUUUACAUACAUUUAUAUUGAUAAGUUCUGCCUGCCAUGCCCAUUUAAAUGUCGGGGUGAACGUGAUUCAAAUAUUUCCUUAAUAUAUAGAAAAUGUCCCAAUGUGCCAUGAAGGACUGAGGAAAGUGAAGCACGGUGGUCCUUUGACAGUUCUUGUUACCUUUCCCUCAUUUCUAAAAACUAUUUGAUUCGGCUUCUUUAGUGCAUACAUUGAAGAACUGGUAUCAUGUAUGUAACCAGGUGUCCUUAUAUGGAACCGAAUUAUCAAUGUAUUUAUUCGUUUUUACAAUAGAUGAUACCAUUUUAUCGAUGUAUUGAACCAAAGUAGCAAUAUAUAAGUUGAUAAUUACAUUAUAUGAUACCAGUUCUUCAAUAUAUGGCACCAAAUAAGCAUUGUAUGGAACCAGAUGUCCUUAUAUGGAACCGAAUUAUCAAUAUAUAAAUUCUUUGUUACAAUAUAUGAUACCAUUUUAUCGAUGUAUUGAACAAAAGUAUCAAUGUAUAAGUUGAUUAUCACAUUAUAAUUAUGAUACCUUCAAUAUAUGGUACCAAAGAUAUAUUUUCUAUUUUGAACAUUAGUAAACGUAAAUCCCGAUCUCACGGAGUACGUAAUAAUGGCAACAUCAAAUGUAUGGGACCGAAAUUACAAAAAUAUGUUUUUUUUGCAAACAAACACAACACAUGAGAGGGGAGGGAAGAAAAUGUUUUAUUCAAGUAAAUUAAAUAUAUACAAGUACAAUAUUUAAAACAAAUACCUAAAAAUACACAAAAAAAAACAAAAAAAAACAACCCUAAACACAUUCAUAUGGUAACCUGAUAUAACAUCAAUUUUCAGUUUUACAAAUAAUGAAAGUAAGAAACAGGAAAGUGACAUAAUCAAAUAGCACCAGAGGACGAUUUGUUGCAAACAAAAUUGAAAUUCAUCAAGUGUAAAUUGUUGUUCAUUAUUUUUGUUCAAUUUCUUGCAUCAAUUACCAAUUCAGGAAUAAUACCCAUAUGAGAAAGAAACCAUAAUAUAAUUCUAUACAAACAAAUAAAGAACAAGAUAAUUAAAUUUAAUGGCUGUACACAAACAUUCAUAGGAAAUAACGUUAUAAAGUGAUAGUUUGCGAGUUUCAGAUUUCAGGCGUCGUUUCAUCAGAUAAAAUUUUCCGACUCUUUGAAUAUUUAGAUGAUUCUUCAACAAUAUCCAGCUUUUAAUUCAGAUUAUCAGGAUUCUGGAAAGAUAUAUCUACUACUACUUAAGCAUAUAUAUUUUCUGUCGUAACUAUUUAUGUAAAUGGAUGUACAACAAAUUUACAGCACAUUAUAAGUGUUCAGUUAACAAAUGUAAAGAUUUUCCCACCGUAGCAAAUAAGAAGGCAUAAAAGUAUUUCCCAGCUUAGGGCAUUUUGUUAUUUGUGCCAACGAAGUGGAGAGCAUAGUAAAUGUAUAGACAUACAAGUUUUUCCAACUUACAUGACGUACUGCAUUAUUUGUACCAACAAAAGAAAGAAUAUGUAAAUGCAUGAUAAAUUGUUUCUAAACUUCCUGCAUUUUGUUUUUGUGUCAGGAAAAAUGAUUGCAGAAAUUUAAAGUCGUAGUGGUUUCAUUAUUUUAUUGAAGCAAUCGGAAGGAAGGGCAUUUUCAGUAAGAGUGUUUCAAAGAUGUAUAUUUUGCUACCUUUGUGAGCAAAAGCCGAUGCAUCGUAAAUGCAUAUUUAUUUUAACAGUUUGUUUUAGAACUUGGUAUAUUAAAUCAUUUAUGUCAGCAAACUGGAGUGCAUAAUCAGCAUUACCUUCAAAAGGUAAGAUAUAUAGUAAAUGUAUAGGCAUAAUAAUAGUCACAAACUGUUACAUUAUGUAAUUUGUGUUAGCAAAAGAAGGGCUUAGAAAAAUGGCAUGUUUUAGAAACUGCGCACUAUGUUAUUUGUGUUUUCGACUAAGAGAUGGUAUUAUCGGAAAAUAGGACACCGUAUAUUUAUGGCAAUAAAUGUUCCCAACUUUGUACAACAUGUUAUUUGUCUCAGUAAUUAGGGCAUAAUCCUCAAAAGACGGACAAACGUAUAUGGACAUAAUAAAUAUAUAUGAAAAGAUGUGCAUAAUCUAAUGCAAUCGUUCAAAGGUUUUCUUCAGGAUGUCGUCCAAUAUGUUUUCUUUUCAAUAGCAAUUAUUGAGCCUUUCUAGUUAUC